rnacentral:rRNA from 1 species
GACGAACGCUGGCGGCGUGCUUAACACAUGCAAGUCGAGCGAUGAAGCUCCUUCGGGAGUGGAUUAGCGGCGGACGGGUGAGUAACACGUGGGUAACCUGCCUCAUAGAGGGGAAUAGCCUUCCGAAAGGAAGAUUAAUACCGCAUAAGAUUGUAGUAUCGCAUGGUACAGCAAUUAAAGGAGCAAUCCGCUAUGAGAUGGGCCCGCGGCGCAUUAGCUAGUUGGUGAAGUAACGGCUCACCAAGGCGACGAUGCGUAGCCGACCUGAGAGGGUGAUCGGCCACAUUGGGACUGAGACACGGCCCAGACUCCUACGGGAGGCAGCAGUGGGGAAUAUUGCACAAUGGGGGAAACCCUGAUGCAGCAACGCCGCGUGAGUGAUGACGGCCUUCGGGUUGUAAAGCUCUGUCUUCAGGGACGAUAAUGACGGUACCUGAGGAGGAAGCCACGGCUAACUACGUGCCAGCAGCCGCAGUAA